rnacentral:rRNA from 1 species
AAUGAACGCUGGCGGCGUGCCUAACACAUGCAAGUCGUACGAGAAAUCCCGAGCUUGCUUGGGAGAGUAAAGUGGCGCACGGGUGAGUAACGCGUGGGUAACCCACCUUCGAAUCUGGGAUAACUCCGCGAAAGCGGUGCUAAUACCGGAUAAGACCACAGCCGCUUCGGCGGUAGAGGUAAAAGCUGACCUCUCCAUGGAAGUUAGCGUUCGAGGACGGGCCCGCGUCCUAUCAGCUUGUUGGUGGGGUAAAGGCCUACCAAGGCAGCGACGGGUAGCUGGUCUGAGAGGAUGAUCAGCCACACUGGAACUGGAACACGGUCCAGACUCCUACGGGAGGCAGCAGUGAGGAAUUUUGCGCAAUGGGGGAAACCCUGACGCAGCAACGCCGCGUGGGUGAAGAAGGCUUUCGGGUCGUAAAGCCCUGUCAGGUGGGAAGAAACUCUUCAGUACUAAUAAUGCUGAAGCCUGACGGUACCACCAGAGGAAGCACCGGCCAACUCCGUG